rnacentral:rRNA from 1 species
AUUGAACGCUGGCGGCAGGCCUAACACAUGCAAGUCGAGCGGAUGAAGGGAGCUUGCUCCUGGAUUCAGCGGCGGACGGGUGAGUAAUGCCUAGGAAUCUGCCUGGUAGUGGGGGAUAACGUCCGGAAACGGGCGCUAAUACCGCAUACGUCCUGAGGGAGAAAGUGGGGGAUCUUCGGACCUCACGCUAUCAGAUGAGCCCAGGUCGGAUUAGCUAGUUGGUGGGGUAAAGGCCUACCAAGGCGACGAUCCGUAACUGGUCUGAGAGGAUGAUCAGUCACACUGGAACUGAGACACGGUCCAGACUCCUACGGGAGGCAGCAGUGGGGAAUAUUGGACAAUGGGCGAAAGCCUGAUCCAGCCACGCCGCGUGUGUGAAGAAGGUCUUCGGAUUGUAAAGCACUUUAAGUUGGGAGGAAGGGCAGUAAGUUAAUACCUUGCUGUUUUGACGUUACCAACAGAAUAAGCACCGGCUAACUUCGUG